GAUGAACGCUGGCGGCGUGCCUAAUACAUGCAAGUCGAGCGAACGGACGAGAAGCUUGCUUCUCUGAUGUUAGCGGCGGACGGGUGAGUAACACGUGGAUAACCUACCUAUAAGACUGGGAUAACUUCGGGAAACCGGAGCUAAUACCGGAUAAUAUUUUGAACCGCAUGGUUCAAAAGUGAAAGACGGUCUUGCUGUCACUUAUAGAUGGAUCCGCGCUGCAUUAGCUAGUUGGUAAGGUAACGGCUUACCAAGGCAACGAUGCAUAGCCGACCUGAGAGGGUGAUCAGCCACACUGGAACUGAGACACGGUCCAGACUCCUACGGGAGGCAGCAGUAGGGAAUCUUCCGCAAUGGGCGCAAGCCUGACGGAGCAACGCCGCGUGAGUGAUGAAGGUCUUCGGAUCGUAAAACUCUGUUAUUAGGGAAGAACAUAUGUGUAAGUAACUGUGCACAUCUUGACGGUACCUAAUCAGAAAGCCACGGCUAACUACGUG
rnacentral:rRNA from 1 species